rnacentral:lncRNA from 1 species
GCAAAGAGUGAGCAUAAGGGGAUCGAAAUUAGAUAAUAUAUAAAUGCUCUCUGGCAAGAUCCUACAGAUACAAAAAGAGCGGGUGAACAUGUACGAUCUUAUGAGUCGUCCGAAUCAAAUGCAUUCGAGAAGAAAAUCGGCGGAAGGGCUGAAAUUUGCAUAGCAGUCUCUCCCAGAGGUUGAGCCUAGCUCCGCUGAGAAAGUAAGACGGCACGAAAGACAUUGCUCUCAAUACUGAUCCGGGUUUAGACGAUCCGAAUACUCCAGUGGGGAUUCGUAAACUUUUUCUUGUAUCUUCUGUUUCUCUCCAGAUUUGGUUUAGCUGUUACUGUCCAUCCCAGCGAAUGUUCAGUUUUGAGCAAUCGACGAUGGUGGCAAGCUGGGCGUUCUAUACUCUCAACAGCAGGGACACAGAAACAGAGCAGAAAAGAGCAGAGUAAUACCGUGGCUAUUCAAGGCCAAUUCGAUGAUUACGGGAGGUGACGCUGUAUGUGUGAGUAUCAUCGGGAAUAAAGGCACGACGACGAAGCACCGCCGUGAAGUGGGUUGCCGGCAGAAGACUCGAAUCAAGGAAAAACGCCAAGACAGGGAGCUGUCAAGUCCGUAUCUGCAAGGCAGUUUUAAGGCGAAACCAGCACUUCCAGGGCAGUAAUUGAGGCGUGGGAUGAGCGUAUGGAACUUCAGGAAUGGAUGAAUAAAGGUUUGAACGAGAAGAGCAAGUUCAUGAACGGCGAAAAUUGAGGAUCCGAAAACAGAGCCUCUCGGCCAAACUCAUCUGAGCCGACAUGGGGGAUCGCCUGAGCUCGAGCAGGUGUCGGCAACUGUGGGACGUUGUUCUAGAGGCUCAGCUGGUGUUACAGUGAGAGAGCUCAUUGGAAUGGUGAGCUGAGGGAGAAGACUCGUGAGAGCUCCCUGGUGCCAGAGAGAGGACCCUUCGGUCCUGUGGGCGUGUGUGGAGGAAUCCAGGAGUGCUCAAGGUGGAGCUUACCAGUAUAGGACAACUCUAUAUUCCC